rnacentral:rRNA from 1 species
UAACGCGUGGGAACCUACCUAUCGGUACGGAAUAACGCACAGGAAACUUGUGCUAAUACCGUAUGAGCUCUUCGGAGGAAAGAUUUAUCGCCGAUGGAUGGGCCCGCGUCGGAUUAGCUAGUUGGUGAGGUAACGGCUCACCAAGGCUUCGAUCGGUAGCUGGUCUGAGAGGAUGAUCAGCCACACUGGGACUGAGACACGGCCCAGACUCCUACGGGAGGCAGCAGUGGGGAAUAUUGGACAAUGGGCGCAAGCCUGAUCCAGCCAUGCCGCGUGAGUGAUGAAGGCCUUAGGGUUGUAAAGCUCUUUCGUCGGGGAAGAUAAUGACGGUACCCGAAGAAGAAGCCUCGGCUAACUCCGCCCCUCACCGCGGUAAUACG